CGCUGGCGGCGUGCUUAACACAUGCAAGUCGAACGCUGAAAGCACUCUGCUUGCAGAGUGCGGAUGAGUGGCGAACGGGUGAGUAACACGUGGAAAUCUGCCUAGGAGUGGGGGAUAACAUUCGGAAACGGAUGCUAAUACCGCAUAUCUUUUUGAACCGCAUGGUUCUUAAACGAAAGACGGCUUCGGCUGUCGCUCUUAGAUGAUCCCGCGGCGUAUUAGUUAGUUGGUGGGGUAAAGGCCUACCAAGACCAUGAUACGUAGCCGACCUGAGAGGGUGAUCGGCCACACUGGGACUGAGACACGGCCCAGACUCCUACGGGAGGCAGCAGUAGGGAAUCUUCCACAAUGGGUGAAAACCUGAUGGAGCAAUGCCGCGUGAAUGAAGAAGGUCUUCGGAUCGUAAAGUUCUGUUAUUAGAGAAGAACAAGUCAAGGAGUAACUGUCUUGACUUUGACGGUACCUAACCAGAAAGUCACGGCUAACUACGUG
rnacentral:rRNA from 1 species